UUUUCUUUAGAGAGUUUGGAGUCAGCAUCU
rnacentral:piRNA from 1 species